rnacentral:rRNA from 1 species
UACGUAGGGUGCAAGCGUUGUCCGGAAUUAUUGGGCGUAAAGAGCUCGUAGGCGGCUUGUCGCGUCGGCUGUGAAAACCCGGGGCUCAACCCCGGGCCUGCAGUCGAUACGGGCAGACUAGAGUGCGGUAGGGGAGACUGGAAUUCCUGGUGUAGCGGGUGAAAAUGCGCAGAUAUCAGGAGGAACACUGGUGGCGAAGGCGGGUCUCUGGGCCGUAACUGACGCUGAGGAGCGAAAGCAUGGGGAGCGAACAGG